UAUUGAUUAUCAAAAUAAUUAAGACAUGAAAUUGACAUGUUUGCAGACAACAGUGAGAGAUGUGUGUUGGGACGUUGGAGUGUGAGAGAAUGAAAAAACUGUACUCAGUUACUGUGCCAGGUGCCAUAUAAUCUAAUUAAGGAAACAUGCUGCAGUCCAAGAGGCAGCAAAGACAGUCACCAUAGAAACACAAACAGAGGUGCCUUACAUCCAUAUUGAAAAGCAUGGACAUGAAUUAAAUUCCAGAUUUAACAGUAGUGUGAAUGAAAGUUAUUCAAAGGAGGAUUUGGACUGGCAUCCAGAUGAAAGUUUUGCUAGUGACAUUGCAGAUAAAGAGAUAGAAGAAUAACCAUUGAAUGAAUGUACAGAGAGAAAAUUUAUCGUUUUCGAAAAACAGUUGGACAAAUUGUGUGAAAAGUGUAAUUUAUGUGGGAGUAGACUUGUGAUUAGGAAGAGAACAAAUCAUCAGUGCAAAAUUCUUGUUGCUAUGGCAACCAAAACAAAAGUAGAAAACAACAAGUAGAAAACCACUACGCCUUGGAGGGGAUGUCAGAUGUGAUUUACCAGGUCACACUGUAAAGUAUGGAUCAUACUGUCUGAUUGAUUUAGAAUGAAAUAUGAUUCUGGAUUGCCAGUUAUUUCAGAGUAAUGAGGUAAAGAACUCUUACUGGAUGGAGCUGGAAGGUUUGAAGCCUUGUUUACACUUUAUCAAUGUCUGAACAUUUCCCACCGUGUAACAGAUAGACAUGUCCAGUUGAAAAAGUAUAUGAAAGAGCAACAGCCAAAAAUUACUUACUGGUUUGAUGUCUGGCAUGUUGCUAAAGAAUUCUGGGAGUUCAAAGGUCACAAGUACAAACUGCACUAAGAAAUGGGAUGAUGGUUGUGAAUGGACUUGUGAGUGUGUUGAUGACAAGAUAGGUCACCGUGGCCCAGUAGUUAAGGCGUCCACCUCGGGAUCAGGAGGUUGAUGGUUCAAGCCCCGUAGGGAGCGUUCGUGUGGGGGAUGUUUGUCAUGGGACUCAUUCCGAAAAAGCCUGUUCGUGAGCCGCGAGCUAGUUAAAUGAAUAGUUACUUACUUCUAUCCGCCUUGCAUAGAGAUGCCCACCAUGUGUGAACUUGCCAUCAAACUGGCGGUGGUAAAAGAUGCUGCCAAACCCUGCUGUAAAAUCCCGACCUGUAGCCCCACACCAUCUCCCCUAACAACAAAGGGACCAGGACUUCUGCCCAUGACUACAGUACCAACACAGAGACCACAAAAAAUAACAAUUUCCCAAACACCGGCUGGUUCCACUGUUUGUAUGCAGUAGGGGUUUCAACACAUUCAGGUUACAGAUUCUUCCCACCAUCACUGUCAACUGUAUCAUCAACACCAGAAUGCUGUCCAAAGACAAGAUCAAUUGGGAGCCUUAUUUCAGAGCCAAAGACCAUAGUUGCGGGUGUGACACCAAUGGCUUCAUGUACAGAACUACAAUGGGCCAUUAAACAUAAAGUAAAACACCAACACCAUUUUCUCCGCUGGUAUCCCAGGCACCAAAGGGUAUUUGGGCCCAACACCAAAUAGAUGUUCUAGCUUGGCACCAUCAGGGUAUUUGGGCCCAACACCAAAUAAAUGUUCCAGCCUGACACCCAUCAGGAUAUUUGGGUCCAACACGAAAUAGCUAUUCCAGCCCAAUUCCUGGAUAUUCCAGCUAAACACCCGGGUCAACAGCAAUACCAUCUUGAAGCCCAGCACCUACAGUGUGGGAAGCCCAUUGUUGGACCCAAAAUUGAAGCCAUGUCUGCAAACAUAGGUAAGCAAAGAAGGAAAUCAAGAUCUGUAUAUUUUGCAAUAAACAACAGUUGACACGCUGACCGGUAAGAGAGCAUUAUGACGUCAAAAUGCCGCAUGAAUUAUGAUACAUUCCUCCUCGGGUAGAUGAAGUCCAGCAUAAUAUUUAUUAAAAUAUGUCA
rnacentral:misc_RNA from 1 species